GACGAACGCUGGCGGCGUGCUUAACACAUGCAAGUCGAACGGCAGCACAGGAGAGCUUGCUCUCUGGGUGGCGAGUGGCGGACGGGUGAGGAAUACAUCGGAAUCUACUCUGUCGUGGGGGAUAACGUAGGGAAACUUACGCUAAUACCGCAUACGACCUACGGGUGAAAGCAGGGGAUCUUCGGACCUUGCGCGAUUGAAUGAGCCGAUGUCGGAUUAGCUAGUUGGCGGGGUAAAGGCCCACCAAGGCGACGAUCCGUAGCUGGUCUGAGAGGAUAAUCAGCCACGCUGGAACGGAGACACGGUCCAGACUCCUACGGGAGGCAGCAGUGGGGAAUAUUGGACAAUGGGCGCAAGCCUGAUCCAGCCAUACCGCGUGGGUGAAGAAGGCCUUCGGGUUGUAAAGCCCUUUUGUUGGGAAAGAAAUCCAGCUGGCUAAUACCCGGUUGGGAUGACGGUACCCAAAGAAUAAGCACCGGCUAACUUCGUGCCAGCCGCCGCCGUAA
rnacentral:rRNA from 1 species